rnacentral:rRNA from 1 species
UACGUAGGGACCAAGCGUUGUUCGGAUUUACUGGGCGUAAAGGGCGCGUAGGCGGCAUAUUAAGUCAGCUGUGAAAUCUCCGAGCUUAACUCGGAACUGUCAGCUGAUACUGAUGUGCUAGAGUGCAGAAAGGGCAAUCAGAAUUCUUGGUGUAGCGGUGAAAUGCGUAGAUAUCAAGAGGAAUACCUGAGGCGAAGGCGGGUUGCUAGGCUGACACUGACGCUGAGGCGCGAAAGCCAGGGGAGCAAACAGG